UAGGGAAUAUUGGACAAUGGGCGCAAGCCUGAUCCAGCCAUGCCGCGUGAGUGAAGAAGGCCCUCGGGUUGUAAAGCUCUUUUGUCCGGAAAGAAAAACCUUGGGUUAAUACCCUGAGGUUCUGACGGUACCGGAAGAAUAAGCACCGGCUAACUUCGUGCCAGCAGCCGCGGUAAUACGAAGGGUGCAAGCGUUACUCGGAAUUACUGGGCGUAAAGCGUGCGUAGGUGGUUCGGUAAGUCCGAUGUGAAAGCCCUGGGCUCAACCUGGGAAGGGCAUGGGAGACUGGCGGGCUAGAGUGCGGUAGAGGGUAGUGGAAUUCCCGGUGUAGCAGUGAAAUGCGUAGAGAUCGGGAGGAACAUCCGUGGCGAAGGCGACUACCUGGACCAGCACUGACACUGAGGCACGAAAGCGUGGGGAGCAAACA
rnacentral:rRNA from 1 species